CCUAGUUAUCCUUUAUUUAGGAAAGAGUCCAAAAAUACAUGCAUCAGGCAAACACCAUCAAUGAAAGACUAAAAGGAGAAGUACCAAGAGUGGAUAAAGGAGCUGCCAAAAGAUUUGUAAAAAAUGCUCUUUGGGAUGAAGAAAGUAGUAGUAGUAAAUCUAGAAAGAGAAAGCAAACUGAAGAUAAAAAUCAAUAAUUGUGAGGAUGUUGCAUGUUUUUAUAAAAGCAACUAAUUCAACUUUAUUUGACUUCCUAAAAUAAUAGAUCUAUACAUUUU